ACACACAUGUAAACCUAACCCUGCUCUGUACCUCCACCCGAACUGCGCGCCGCCACCUCCGACCUGCGUACCGCCGGCACAACCCGCCCGCCGGUCCCCUCGCACCACCACCGACCCUCGGUCUCCCUUCGCUUAGCCCGCAGUAGCAGAAGCGCCGUCCGCGAAGAAGGAGGAUCGUCCACCACCGAGGAGCAGCAGCGCCAUCCGACACCAAGGAUCCCCCCGCGCCGGGAAGCAGCAGGACUGUCCGCCCGAGGAUCCGCGGCCCAACUGCUGCUAAGGAGCCGCCCGCCGUUCUUCUUCCAACAUAGGCGAUGCCUGUCCCGGUUGACUCCAGUUACCUAGCCCCUCCUCCAGAUCUUAACUGGGCACAAUGAUGAAUUCUACGAAGGAUGCUCAUGGAAGGAAAGGCUAUGUUGUCUUAACAAGGAUGGAAAGUAUAACAACAUACACAAACCAGAUCUGGACAGAUGGGACCUAGAAGAUACACCAGAAACAAAAGAAAACGUUCUCAAAAUUGCGAAAGGGCGAUAUAGCAGCUGGCGAUCAACUCUAAGCUCCACUUACAAGGCAUACAAAACAGAUGCAGCUAGAUUGGCUAAUCUACCGGAAGAUUUACAACCAGAAGAGUGGGAAUGGAUGAUUGAGUACUUUGUCACUGAUUCAUAAUUUCAGGAACGCAGCCGAAAGAACACCGAUAAUCGUAAGAAACAGAAGACAAAACACAGAAUUGGAUCAAAAUCUUACUUGCAACUAAGUUUUGAGAAGAGAAACUUGGAAAUUGGAGAAGAGCCAGAUUGGAAUGCUCUGUGGGAACUCACCCACACUAAGAAUGGAACAUGGUCUAACACAGAGUCCCAGGAUGUCUAUUGUCAAUAUUGAUGCGGCAGCUAUAAUUGUUCUUUCCGUUUUAAGGACAAGGCAUGUCAAGAGGUUGAAAACAAAGAAACUGACACUCAUGGUCCACUUUCAAGUGAGCAUGUCAUUGGCCUUCAUAAUUAGCUAGCUGCUUGUUCUCUUUCACCAUGCGUUGUUGCUGCAUCGAGUCACAACUUCAAAAAAAAUGAAUAUGUGCUAGCUAGCGACAUGAACUUAACUGAAACUAUAGAUGGAGUCACAACUUAAAUCAACACCGGAAGCUUUUAGUACAUGUACUUGUGCAUAUGCUUUAGACAUUUACAAUGGUAAACUGUUCUGAUCCCUCAAUUACAUGCUUGCUGACACAGUAUUACUCCAGUUAGUCUGGCGACAAUUCUUUUUAACAAUGGGGAUGGAAUAAUUGUAUGGCGUAUGCUAUGUUGGACUCAUUAACUAGAACUAUUAUUUUUAUUUCUUGAUUGCAGGAUCCAAAGAACUAGCUUCACUGGGCUCAAGAUCAUAGACAGUUUAGUCUUGGCACGUAAUUAGGAUGGCUAAAUUACAUUUGAGUUUCAUUUGAUGAAUAUUUGCUAUGAGAAUUAUGAAUUUUACGAAUCUACAUAUCAUGUGUAUGGUUUUGAAUAUUGUAAUUGAAUGCCUGUAUUUUUUUUAGGUUGCAAUAGGCUAUUGCCACAACUCACUUUGGUUGCCAAA